UUUUUAUAUGAAAAAUGCAAUUACAAUAUUACAUAUUAAUUAUUAUAAAUUGAAUUAUAAUAAUUAAUAUUAUGAUUUAAAUUUUUUCAAUUUGAAGCUGCAUUUCCGGCAGCCAUUUCACCGGUUUUUAUUGCCACAUAUUUUUGUUCAGAAAUAAUUUUAAUAUGCCGAUUUGUUGCUCAAGUAACAUUAUUAACACUAAUUAUUAUUAUCACAGUUGAGUUGAAAACUGUUGUGCUCCUUAAUAAUUUUUUUUUUUAUUAUUUUGUAAUUUUUAUGCAUAUCCUUACUGUCACUUUUGAUCAAUUUAUUCAUCAAGGACAUAUAAAAAGUAUUUAUUUAUUUCAAAAGAAAAUCUUACUGAACCCAAACUUUUGAAAAUUGAAACUUUUCAUACUGACCCAUAUUUUUAUUUUUAUUACAGUUUUUUUAAGUUGUAAAUUUAAGAGGUGUACAUGUCCAGAACGUUUGAGUUGAGUUUUGUCAUUGCUAGUUUAAUUUGCUGUGUUCAGCUACACAUGGUGUUAAUGGGUUAUAGAAUGACCCUGUUAACUUCUAAACUCUUAUACUCUCAAAGUGACAAGCCCGCCUACAAAUUUGCAACUUCCUGCUGUAAUUCUGUGAAUAAUUAUAGACUCCGGAUUUGUUAGUGUUAAGGUAAAGAACACAGGAAAUGUUUUAAAACUGGUAUAUUUAGAUCCUGUAUGUCCUCUAUCACAUUCUCUUCCUCCAGAGCUCCAGCCGUCUGAACACUUACAGGUGGAGGGCUCCACUUGGCUCCCGCUAAAUGUUGUCUCUAAUGGCAACACCUCCAGCAGCUCACAAGCCGUGGGCGUCACCAAGAUCGCCAAAUCUGUUAUCGCUCCAUUGGCCGAGCAACAUGUGUCCGUCUUCAUGCUCUCCACCUAUCAAACCGACUUUAUUCUGGUGCGAGAGAAGGACCUGUCGGUGGUGGUGGAGACUCUGGUGGAGGAGUUUAAUAUUUUCAGAGAGGAGGGAGGAGAGUCAGUGCCUGUCCACAGUCAGGACGCCUGCAACGGCCUUCAGCGAAACGGCAGAGAGGGUGAGACCACAGUGAAAGAAGGGCAUAUACACUACCAAAAAAUGUUUGGGGUCGAUAUAAAGUCUUUCCAAGGAUGCAUAUAUUUAAUAAAAAUACAGUAAAAAGAGCAAUGUUAUAUUAUAUUAUUAUUAAAAUGUAUUUAUUUCUGUGAUCAAAUCUGAAUUUUCGGCGUUAUUACUCAGGCUACGUUUACACGACAACGAUGUAGUCAAACACGGGAAAGUUUUUCCCUCGUGUUUUAAAAGUUUACACACAUACAUGACAACGUUUUCAAAACGAUUCACGUUUACACAUAGCCUCGAAACCUGUAGGGAAGUGACGAUUGUAUGUUGUAUAUGAUGCGUCUCCGCUGUUGGUUGUAUUAUUGGUGAAGUAAAUCCACACUUGAGCAGCAACAACAGUACCAUACUCCGCCAUUGUUGUGUAUGUUUGUUGGCGCUUGCCUUUAAAAAUCGACAAGUACUGCGCAUGUCUACAUACCUAACACAUACUACUCAUGCGCAUGACGUCACCAUUUUCGAAGAUUCCCGUAUUGGGUGUUUACAUGGAAACGAUAAUGGUGCUGUUUUCAAAAAACUUAGUCACUUUGUAACCCGUUUUCAAAAAUAUGUGUUUCAGUCCCCAAAAUGCUGUUGUCGUGUAAACGAACACGCAAAAUGCAUAAAAAGACUUUAAUGAAUAGAAAGUUCAAAGAUGAACAGCAUUUAUUUGAAACAGAAUUUUUUGCAACAAUAUAAGA
rnacentral:lncRNA from 1 species